AUAAGGCACAUUCUGAGGUCCAGGGGGUUAGGACUCCAACAGAUGAAGUUUGGAAAACACAAUUCAACCCAAAACAGACAUCCUUGCUCUUAUUUUAUAGUUCAUAUGAGUUUUCUUUGAAUUACCUCUGGGAGAGGAGCACCGUGAUGGUACCUGUCUUAAGGGCCUCUAAAGAGCUUCCCUGUCCCCGUGGACCCACCAAGCAAAGAAGGGUGGGGAAUACAACAGACAAGGAGGUUCUGCCGUGAGGGGGGAUGAGGCUCAGACCCUAGAGCCAAGAGAGCAUUAUGGGACGAUGCUCCCUGACCUUGAAUCCCUCCAUCCAACCAGAGGGGCUGCUUCAGGCACAGUAGUGUGGGCGUCCCUGGGGAGAUGCAGGAGUCAUUCAGCAGAACCUGCAGAUCACCCUGAAGGGCUGUGUGCUUCCACACUGUAUCUUUUCUGGAUCCGGAGAACCUCCUCAUCGAGCUGAGAGCCAAGGCAGCCAGCCCCUGCCGGUGUGAAUUCUGUGUGUUAUCCACAACACAGUCUGAGAAACCAGGUGCAGGAACACCCUUCCUAGCAGUGCACCUUGUUUACAUGGAUUGUAAGUGAGAACCUGGAUAAUGCAGGAAUAACUUCUAGAAAUCCUUCUGAGGACCACCCUACAAUUCAUGGGACAUCAUGGACAUCCUGGUUAAUGAGUGUUAUCCAUUCGAAGAAUCAAAGUUUAGUCACCACAUAAGAAAACUGGAAAUGCCCCCAACUCUUACAGCUCAUAUUCAAAAGAAUGCUUAAUAGGGUUUUCCUCAAAUUUGACAAUAAUCCUGCAAAUUUGUAUGACAUUACUGAUAACUAGUUUUGAAGGUAAGAGGAACGUCUAAAAAUAUGAACUGUACGAAAGUAUCAACCAUAUUAAAGAAAAGACUGAGUUAUCUUUUCAAUUAACUUUCAAAGAGUGAAUUAGCUUUAAAUCUUAUAAAAAUUCUCUUUCAAAAUUGUCACAGAAGAGAUGAUCAGAGAUUAUGCAAUACAUUCACGCAUUUGCUACCUGCAGUUUGCCAAGCAGCUAAUUAGUAAAAAUGUCAUUUUUAUGAAUUUUGUGAUGUUUGUGGUGUUUGCCAUCUCUUUAAGAUUUGCUGCAAUUUUCUGAUUCUAAAAUAAACAUUCCCUUUCAUACCUAA